rnacentral:rRNA from 1 species
CCUACGGGAGGCAGCAGUGGGGAAUUUUGGACAAUGGGCGAAAGCCUGAUCCAGCAAUGCCGCGUGAGUGAAGAAGGCCUUCGGGUUGUAAAGCUCUUUUGUCAGGGAAGAAACGGUGAGAGCUAAUAUCUCUUGCUAAUGACGGUACCUGAAGAAUAAGCACCGGCUAACUACGUGCCAGCAGCCGCGGUAAUACGUAGGGUGCAAGCGUUAAUCGGAAUUACUGGGCGUAAAGCGUGCGCAGGCGGUUUUGUAAGUCUGAUGUGAAAUCCCCGGGCUCAACCUGGGAAUUGCAUUGGAGACUGCAAGGCUAGAAUCUGGCAGAGGGGGGUAGAAUUCCACGUGUAGCAGUGAAAUGCGUAGAUAUGUGGAGGAACACCGAUGGCGAAGGCAGCCCCCUGGGUCAAGAUUGACGCUCAUGCACGAAGACGGUGGGGAGGACGAACAGGAGUUAGUAUACCUACGGUAGUCCGACCGACCCGUAAACCGAACUAGUCUACUUAGUUGUCGGGUUCGUUAAUUAGUACUUGGUAACGACGAGCGUACGCGUGAGUAGACCGCCGUGGGUAGGUUAGGUUCGUCGAGAGUUAAACGUUACGAAUUAGAGUUAGACGGCGNGAGAGNGCCGACGGCGACGACGAGGGAGGAGG